rnacentral:tRNA from 1 species
GCGGGCAAAAACGCCUCUAUUUGUACACAUUCUCGUACACAUACACAUAAAAAAUCAGAAAUUAUCACGUAAAAACAAUAUGUUUACAUAUGACGCAAGGGACUUAAAAUCCCUCGGCCUUGGCUGUACGGGUUCGAUCCCCGUCGCCCGCACCA